rnacentral:rRNA from 1 species
CAAUACUGACACUGAGGAGCGAAAGCGUGGGAAGCGAACAGGAUUAGAUACCCUGGUAGUCCACGCCGUAAACGGUGGGCGCUAGUUGUGGGAACCUUCCACGGUUUCUGCGACGCAGCUAACGCAUUAAGCGCCCCGCCUGGGGAGUACGAUCGCAAGAUUAAAACUCAAAGGAAUUGACGGGGCCCCGCACAAGCAGCGGAGCAUGCGGCUUAAUUCGACGCAACGCGAAGAACCUUACCAAGGCUUGACAUAUACAGGAAUAUGGCAGAGAUGUCAUAGCGGUAAAACGUCUGUAUACAGGUGGUGCAUGGUUGUCGUCAGCUCGUGUCGUGAGAUGUUGGGUUAAGUCCCGCAACGAGCGCAACCCUCGUUCUGUGUUGCCAGCAUUUAGUUGGGGACUCACAGGAGACUGCCGGGGUUAACUCGGAGGAAGGUGGGGAUGACGUCAAAUCAUCAUGCCCCUUAUGUCUUGGGCUGCACGCAUGCUACAAUGGCUGGUACAAAGGGCUGCAAUACUGCAAAGUGGAGCGAAUCCCAAAAAGCCAGUCUCAGUUCGGAUUGGGGUCUGCAACUCGACCCCAUGAAGUCGGAGUUGCUAGUAAUCGUAGAUCAGCAACGCUACGGUGAAUACGUUCCCGGGGCUUGUACACACCGCCCGUCACAUCACGAAAGUCGGUAACACC